rnacentral:rRNA from 1 species
CCUACGGGUGGCAGCAGUGAGGAAUAUUGCACAAUGGGGGCAACCCUGAUGCAGCCAUGCCGCGUGAAUGAAGAAGGUCUUCGGAUUGUAAAGUCCUUUCGUUCGUGACGAUGAUGACGGUAUCUCACAAAUAAGCACCGGCGAACUCCGUGCCAGCAGCCGCGGUAAUACGAAGGGUGCGAGCGUUACUCGGAAUUACUGGGCGUAAAGAGCGUGUAGGCGGAUUUGUAAGAUAGAUGUGAAAUGCUAGGGCUCAACCACAGAACUGCAAUUAUGACUGUGAAUCUAGAGUAUCGGAGAGGAGGGCGGAAUGCCCGGUGUAGGGGUGAAAUUCGUAGAGAUUGGGUGGAACACCGGUGGCGAAGGCGGCUAUCUGGACAAUUACUGACGCUGAGGCGCGAAAGCGUGGGGAGCAAACAGGAUUAGAUACCCCAGUAGUC